rnacentral:rRNA from 1 species
GACGAACGCUGGCGGCGUGCUUAACACAUGCAAGUCGAACGGAAACGCCCUGCUUUUGUGGGGUGCUCGAGUGGCGAACGGGUGAGUACCACGUGAGUAACCUGCCCUUGCCUUUGGGAUCACUUCAGGAAACUGGGGAUACUACCGGAUAGGAGCUGCUGCUACAUGGUGGGGGUUGGAAAGUUUAGGGGGUUGGGGUUGGAAGCCGGGCUUUUCAGCUUGUUGGUGGGGUAGUGGCUUACCAAGGCUUUGACGGGUACCGGGCCUGGAGGGGUGACCGGCCACAUGGGGACUGAGAUACGGCCCAGACUCCAACGGGAGGCAGAGGUGGGGAAUUUUGCACAAUGGGCGGAAGCCGGAUGCGGCAACGCCGCGGGCGGGAUGACGGCCUUCGGGUUGUAAACCGCUUUCGCCUGGAACGAGGCGUGAGUGACGGUAAUGGGUAAAGAAGCACCGGCUAACUACGUG